GACGUAGGGGGCCAGCGUUGUUCGGAAUUACUGGGUGUAAAGGGUUCGUAGGCGGUGCGGCAAGUUGGGAGUGAAAUCUCUGGGCUUAACCCAGAGGCUGCUUCCAAAACUGCUGUGCUUGAGUGUGGGAGAGGCGCGUGGAAUUGCAGGUGUAGCAGUGAAAUGCGUAGAUAUCUGCAGGAACACCCGCGGCGAAAGCGGCGCGCUGGACCACUACUGACGCUGAGGAACGAAAGCUAGGGGAGCAAACAGG
rnacentral:rRNA from 1 species